rnacentral:rRNA from 1 species
ACAAGUACCGUGAGGGAAAGUUGCAAAGCACUUUGAAGAGAGAGUUAAAGAGGACGUGAAACCGAUGAGGUGGAAACGGACAGAGCUGGCGUAUCUGGUCUGCAUUCAUCCGUGUGCUUUUGGGCGUUUGGAUUGCCACUCUCCAGACUGGGAUGGUGUUCAUUCUGUUCAGGGGCUCAUGGAGCAUUUGCAGGCGGAGUGCGCUGAGAUGCUCGGGGCAGCUGCAUGAGCUUGGCUUUGAGGCCAGCCCUUCGGGGUCUGGUACCCGGGCUGGGGGAGUGUUGUUUGUUCUGGGUGCUGAGUGGUGUGCAAUGGCAACGGGUCCGUGUUGGUUUGAGCUGGCGGUCGGUGGCGGUCGCGUGCGACACGUGCCAGCAGUCAGUUCGGUCCUGCUCGGGCUCUCAUUGCAUGUUCUCGGUGUAAAAGCCGGUCAUCUGUCCGACCCGUCUUGAAACACGGACCAAGGAGUUUAGCGUGUGCGCGAGUCAUUGGGAGUUGAAAACCCAAGGGCGUAAUGAAAGUGAAGGUCUCCUUGCGGAGCUGAUGUGUGAUCCCGUGCACCACGGUGUGCGGGCGCAACAUAGUCCCGUUCCUAUCGCAUGCGAUGGGGCGGAGACAGAGCGUACGCGCUGAGACCCGAAAGAUGGUGAACUAUUCCUGAGCAGGAUGAAGCCAGAGGAAACUCUGGUGGAAGUCCGAAGCGAUUCUGACGUGCAAAUCGAUCGUCUGACUUGGGUAUAGGGGCGAAAGACUAAUCGAACCAUCUAGUAGCUGGUUCCUUCCGA